AUUGAACGCUGGCGGCAGGCCUAACACAUGCAAGUCGAACGAGGCGCGGACGGGUGAGUAAUCUCUGGGACACCGCCUGAGGGAGGGGGAUCACUAGUGGAAACGGUCGAUAAUACCGCAAACCAUCAUAUGUGCCCAGAUGGGAUGAGCUUGUUGGUGGGGUAACGGCUCACCAAGGCGACGAUCCCUAGCUGGUCUGAGAGGAUGACCAGCCACACUGGAACUGAGACACGGUCCAGACUCCUACGGGAGGCAGCAGUGGGGAAUAUUGCACAAUGGGCGCAAGCCUGAUGCAGCCAUGCCGCGUGUAUGAAGAAGGCCUUCGGGUUGUAAAGUACUUUCAGCGGGGAGGCGUUACCCGCAGAAGAAGCACCGGCUAACUCCGUGCCAGCCGCCGCGGUAAUUC
rnacentral:rRNA from 1 species